UACACACCGCCCGUCACACCACGGGAGUCGAUUGCUCCAGAAGUGGCUGCGCCAACCCGCAAGGGAGGUAGGCCCCCAAGGAGUGAUCGGUAACUGGGGUG
rnacentral:rRNA from 1 species